AAGCAGAGCUCAACUGUUUUGCCCAUCAUGCUCUGGAUCUCAGUCUUCCUCACGCUCCUCACUUACUGGACAGGUUCCUUUGCCCAGUAUGUGCUGACACAACCACCAUUGGUGUCUGUGUCUUUGGAACAAAAUGCCGAAAUCACUUGUUCGGGAAACAACCUUGGGAGCCAGUAUGUGCACUGGUACCAGCAGAAACCCAGCAAGGCUCCAAUCCUCAUUAUAUACAGAGAUAGCAAGAGACCAGAAGAGAUCUCAGACCGAUUCUCUGGCUCCAUCUCUGGCAACACAGCCACAUUAAGCAUCACCAGGGUCAAAGCAGAGGAUGAGGCCGGUUACUACUGCCAGGUGUAUGAUGGUAACACAAACCAGCAACACAGUGUUACAGGCAGAGGGGGAAGUGAGACAAAAACCUCCUGA